ACUCUUGGAAGUGCUCAGAACUAUGCCUAAGGAACUAACAAUCAUCGUGGGCUGGUGCCAACCAUUUUGGUUUAGAUCUUGGGACUGGAGCAAACUACAAUUCCAAAAGAACUACUGGGGACCAUCUCUCUCUUUUUCACUGUUGUAGAAAUUUCUACUGCUUGUAGAAAUUCUUUUGUAAUAAUCUUUUUUUCCUCUUAUCUAUGAACUUUUAGUACCAUUUUAUCUUAAUUUGACCUGGGGAAUUCAUGAAUCUGGUCAUCCCUCCCAUCUUUACAGGUGGUGGAUGUGAGAAAAUGCUCUUAAUGACAAAAAUGAGAGAAGAGUAGGGGGCUAGUAUAUGAUCAGUCUGCUUACAUAUUAUGGCCAUUUGCUCUUUAAGAUCACGUCAGUUAUACUGACUAUAUUGAAAAGUGUAAGGAGCAGGGAGUGCUUGUCACAUCAAGAGCUAUAUAUAUAUAUUUAUAUUAUUAGAGUAUGCAUUGUGCAUUAUGUAGGUGGGAAAUAAAUUCUGACUCUUCAUAGUCCUGAAGGAAUACUUACAAAUAUUAAAAACAAAAUUCUACAGGUUUCCAAGCCACUUUCGCCGCAUAUUAAUUCUAUAUCAGAAGAAGCUUUCUCUUCUCCAGGAUGGACCUAGAGAAGUCCAGCUCCUUCAGUCUGUCUUGAUAGGAAAGGUGUGCCAGCCCUUUGAUCAUCUUCCUGGCUCUCCUCUGGACCCUCUCCAAAAGCAGCACAUCUGUCCUGUCUUGGAGGCCUCAGAUCUGGAUGCAAUACUCCAGAUGGAACCUCAUGAGGGCAGUGUAGAGAAUGACAAUCACCUCCCUGCCCCUGCUGGCCACCCCUCUUCUGAAGCAGCCCAGGAUUCUACUGGCCAUUUGGGCUGCAAGCACACACUGUUGACUCAUGGUCCAGCAGAACACUUCUUCUCAUCAGUUCUUCGGUCACAUGUUUUGGGAAUUUUUGCUCAAGUGCUUCAGAGACCUCCUGAACUGAUUGUACCCUUCUGUGUUUUCCCUCCAACACUUAUUGGAGUGGCUGAAUUCACCUGUGAGGAUGAGAACCUGCAAAUGUGAUGUUUCUUCCAAUGGUCCGAAGAAGGCCUAAUGUACUUAUUCCUAAUCAUGCAAUCUGUAUCAGACACCUGCCACAUCACCCACCUUAGUCUACUCACUAAUCUUGAACCACAGGCUCUCAGCUGCUUCGUCACUUAUCACUAGGCACUGCUCCAUGCAUUCCCACAUCUCUUUGACAUACAGUGAGACUCUCCCUCCUUGCCAUGCUGUCCUGCUCUUCUUAGGGAGCCUUUAUACACAGCAGCACUUCAGCCAUGUUGACUCUUCCACUAUUACAACCUUGAAAAAUGGUACCAAACAUAGUACAACACUGUACAUAUUCCCCUCUAGAACGCCUCUGGUACUAUUGUCCCACAAAUUGUGCUUGGAAGGGUUUCAGAGAGUGUCCUGUGUAACAUAAAGAAAAUAUUUCCAGGAGCAUGUUGCUAAUAAUUAACAGUUAACUAAUUGUCAGUCACCACUCCACUUGCAAACUCAUUCUAUUUAAUUUUAUACAUGCAACAGAGAUAUAUCCCCUUCUCAGGGGGAGGUUAUUCUACACUCUAUUGCAGAAUUCAGAUCUUGCUUUCAGUACUUCUUUCUUACCAUUAAAUCAAAUCAUUCAAAGUGAAAUAAACUCCAGUAGACAAGAUAGAAAUAUCAGAAUUAUUUUCAAGGCAGCAGCUGAGACUUCUCACACUGUAGAUCUAAGUGCAUUCAUGACCAUGUUUUGACUACUUAGCUGCACAACUGUAUCUUUCCUGAGACAACAAUUAUGCAAACUGUGAAGAACUGAUGGCAUAUCCUUAACAAAUACCCAAGCCUCUACUCUUACAGCCCUGAAAUGACGAGAAUCUAGGAAAACAAUGCUGAUAGUUUUAGGAUUCUACACAGUGUUGCAUACAAGAAAAGACCUCCUCAAGUCUAACAUCUGUCACAGAAUCACUGAAUUGAAGGAGUUGCAAGGGACCUCUAGAGAUCAUUGAGUCCAACCCCCCUGCUAAAGCAACUUCUCUACAGUAGAUCCCACAGAUGGGUGUUCAGAGGGAUCUUGAGUAUCUCCAGAGCAGGAAACUCCACGAUCUGUCUGGGCAACCUGUUCCAGUGCUGUGUCACCCUUACUGUAAAGAAGUUAUUUCACAUGUUUGCAUGGAACUUCCUACGUUCAAAUUUUAGGCCAUUCCUAUGUCCUCCUUGUCCUAUCACUGCACACCACUGAGAAGAGCCUGGACUCAUCCAAUUGCUUGCCUUUAGAUUUCUGAACAGUAAACAGAUCCUCCCUCAGUCUUCUUUUCCCCAGAGUGAACAGACCCAGCCACUCCUGGCAUUGAAUGUGCAAUUAAUAUUUAGAAAUAGCUUAAUAUGUUAAAAAUAAUUAUUUGUAUUUCCUACUCCUUCUGCAUGCUCACCAUUCUUAUGCAGAGUAGUCAUCAGUCCGUCUCAUCUUGUCUGGGAGGGAAGGGGUGACUGGAUUUGAGACAUACUAAGCACACCUCAGAAAGUCAGGAUUAUUAUUAUUAUUAUUAUUAUUAUUUUGGUUUAUUUACACAGUCACUCAAUUUAUUCCACAGAAGUCACUUCUGUGUACAUUUUCAACAAUCAAAGCAAAAGUAAUCACCGUGGACUAAGGUAGCAGACUUUCUGAUACUGUGAAUUUUGCUACAUAAACAUUUAUGUAUAGACUUAAUAUGACAUUAUCAUUGCUUCUGUUUGCAUCUGAAACUAAAACAGUAGUGAUGUCUCAUGCAAAGAAUAAGCAGUAAUCUCUAUUUGAGAAUCUAAAUUUGUUUUAUUUUUCUAAGAGAAUAUCUGUUCUAAAGACCUUCUAUUUAAAUUGACCACCUCUAGAUCAAAAAGAAUUUUAACAGACUUUGCAUAUUCUGUAAAUGUUAAACAUAUCUGUUAUUUAUAAAAGAAGCAAAAUUGUUAUUUUUGAUAAAUUUGGAGGAAAACAUGAAAAUUGGAAAAAAAAAAUCUUUGUCGUUAAUAAAAUACAUUUUAUUUAAAAC
ensembl:lncRNA